GGGCCCAUAGCUCAGCCGGUUAGAGCAUCUGACUCAUAAUCAGGUGGUCCCAGGUUCAAGUCCUGGUGGGCCCA
rnacentral:tRNA from 2 species